AGUUGUGGACUCGAGUCACAUGACUUGGUCUCGAGUCUGACUCGAGUCACAUAUUUGAUGACUUCAGAUUCGACAGAAAAUAAAUUAACUUUAGGCUUGACUUUGACUUGGGACCCAAGUUUGACUUGAGACUGAUUACUUGAAAUAAUUUGUCACUCAUUUUGUGGCACACUACUCUCCACGUAGCCAGAGAGCAACAGAUUGGCUAGUGAAACACACACUUGGCCCUCUGAUUGGACCAGAAAACGGUAAAUUAAUACAGGUCUGGUGAGGUAGAGCAGUGUUUCUCGAAGCGAAGAAAGAUUUAUUUGUGGGGUCGUGAGCAAUGUUCCCUCAAUGUUUCUGGCACUGAGAUAAUUUAAGUUCUGAUGAGCACAAACUUGAACGUUGUGAAAAUUCUGUGCAACUUCCAGUGCAUGUUUACUGUGAACACUGAGGCUGUAUCUGCUUUAAGAUCUUUUUAACAGUGACCAAGUAGGCUACACUGGCUAUUUGAUCAUAAUGGAGGCCUACCAGAGUGGAGAAAAUGCAUCCCAUAACAUUUUAACAUGGAAGUAGCUGUUCUAUCAUUCAGCCUACAGUAACAGCCAAUGUGUGGGGUUCAUUGUAGUCCAUAAAAAAAUGCAGGGCUUGACAUUAACCUGUUUAUCCACUUGUCCUUCAGACAAGGAGGUGACUGAAAAUGUUUUUGUGUUUGAUGCAAGAAACCAUUUGACAAAAUCAAAUUAAUUAUUAUUCCCAUACCAUUAUUACAGAGAAUCAGACAAACUAUGCUACCCUAUGACUAUUGGUUACUUAGUUUAUUUAAGCCGGUCUCAAAAUACAACACUGCCCCUUUAAGACAAAAAUAUAUAUUUUAAUCUGUCUUGCUUUUCAAAGAUAUCUAGAAAUGUACAUGUUUUGUGUUCUUGUAGGAAGCAAUCAAUCAUCUAUUGCUGAUGACAAAUGAUCUAGAACUGGGCUAAUACCUCACUAAAUAGCAAAGAAUAUGAACACGUGACUACAUGAAGCUCUUGCUUUGAUCUCAAAACAAGCACAUCUACUCAUGACCACAGCUGUAAACACAGUCCAGUUCAAAGUUAAUGGCAUUGAUCCAUAUGUGGCAAUGGUCAUUUUGCAUAUAGGCCUACUGCAGCUCUGAUUGGUUAUGCCGCCGGUCUGUGUAGAGUAGGGCUGAGUCGUUGCAAUAGAAUCCUACUGUGAUGCGUUCUGCCUACAACAUCAUCUCUAGCAUGGUUAGUUCAGUAUGUUGCAUUGACAGAGGCUAAUGUGUUGAUUCCAUCACAAUCGCCACAGGAAAGGGAAACGAUAGUGUUAACUAACAGGGAAAAGUCUACAAAGUGGAGGGAGUCUCGUGUCUGAUAUUUCUUCUGUGAGCUGCACUGCAUUCACAGAUUACUGCACACCCCCGAAAGUUUAGAGGGAAUGUUUGUUGUGAGUAUGAAACUGAAUUUUUAAAACUUUCAGGCAUAGGCCCACGGUAUUACACCAAAUGAUUGUCUAAAAAACAUCUAAUCUGUGCUUCAGAACCAUCAAGUUGCACGUCUUGACUGUUGACCAAUGAACAGUGAUCUGCAUUAGCUCACAAAGGCUCAUAUCCAGAUUAGUCUUCAGAAAGCGUUUCAUUUUCUCCGGUUUUGCCUGGUCAAAACAGAGUAAGACUACAUUUAUAUUAUCCAUAUAAAGUGAACCACGUAUCUACAGUUUAGCAAUCUACUACGGACACAUCUUUUCCAGAACAAUAACGCUAGGCUACGUGGCGAUUUCAUUGAUCAUUUUCAAAUUUCAGAUAAUCCUAGUUUGGGUGGUAACUGGCUAUAUGUCUGAAGAUAGCUGUAACAUCACACAGCCUUGAAUAUUAUGGGAUAAAGAAGUAGAACUAACAUAUUCUGGUGAAUUUAUUAGGAUAUGUGUGAGGAAGAAAGGGUCUUCCCAGUUGGCAAUGAGCUGCAGGCAGGCGGCCCUCCAGAGUGACAGGCAAGGUGCAGACAGGCGGCCCUCGAGUGACAGGCAAGGUGCAGACAGGCGGCCCUCGAGUGACAGGCAAGGUGCAGACAGGCGGCCCCCCAGAGUGACAGGCAAGCUGCAGGCAGGCGGCCCUCCAGAGUGACAGGCAAGGUGCAGACAGGCGGCCCUCCAGAGUGACAGGCAAGGUGCAGACAGGCGGCCCUCCAGAGUGACAGGCAAGGUGCAGGCAGGCGGCCCUCCAGAGUGACAGGCAAGGUGCAGACAGGCGGCCCUCCAGAGUGACAGGCAAGGUGCAGACAGGCGGCCCUCCAGAGUGACAGGCAAGGUGCAGGCAGGCGGCCCUCCAGAGUGACAGGCAAGGUGCAGACAGGCGGCCCUCCAGAGUGACAGGCAAGGUGCAGACAGGCGGCCCUCCAGAGUGACAGGCAAGGUGCAGACAGGCGGCCCUCCAGAGUGACAGGCAAGGUGCAGACAGGCGGCCCUCCAGAGUGACAGGCAAGGUGCAGGCAGGCGGCCCUCCAGAGUGACAGGCAAGGUGCAGACAGGCGGCCCUCCAGAGUGACAGGCAAGGUGCAGACAGGCGGCCCUCCAGAGUGACAGGCAAGGUGCAGACAGGCGGCCCUCCAGAGUGACAGGCAAGGUGCAGGCAGGCGGCCCUCCAGAGUGACAGGCAAGGUGCAGGCAGGCGGCCCUCCAGAGUGACAGGCAAGGUGCAGACAGGCGGCCCUCCAGAGUGACAGGCAAGGUGCAGACAGGCGGCCCUCCAGAGUGACAGGCAAGGUGCCUCCGCUGCAUACAGACCUAUUAUCCUGGUUUCUCUGGACACCAGAGGAGUUAGAAGAUAUCCCUAGUUGAUAUUGGCUGCUAACAUGAAUGACUUUCAUCUUAAAAUGCUGGUUUAAAACGCAGUUUAUUUCUGCGUCUUGCACUUUGAAAAAUGAAUCUCUGUUUAUGGCUGUAAUGACAGGCUACAUUUGCGCAGCGUAAGAGCGUGCGGGCGGGUCGCAAGCUUUGAUCCAUAUUAAAAUGAAUUUUUACAUAAUAAAAAUAUUUAGUGGACAAAAUAAUGAAAAGGGCUGUCUGGUAGCCUCAAUCAAUAGACAAAAUAUUGUAGUUGAACAAGUCAUUGUGUGUGUGUGUAUGUAUGUAUAUAUAUAUAUAUAAUAUAUAUAUUUUACUUGACUUGAACAAACUUGACUCAACAUGCACUUAGAAUGCAGAGACAAACUGUUCUACUCCAGACUUUGCUUGUGACUUGGUUGGGGCAAUUCCAUUUCAAUUCCAGUCAAUUCAGUAAGUACACGAAAAUUCCAAUUAUUUUCAAUGGGGAACAUUUGGAAUAUGGUUUACUUUCUGAAUUGGAAUGCAGCUCUUAUGGAAUGCAGCUCUUAUGGAAUGCAGCUCUUAUGGAAUGCAGCUCUUAUGGAAUGCAGGACUGGCCCAGGGGUUUUGACGAGCUGUAGAUGAGAUACAUUAGCGAUACAUCAUGGUCACUACUGUGAUGCCUCUGACAUGACAAAUAUGAACAACUUAAGAAAAUAGUGACCUAUCCCUAUAGAUAAUUUGUAAUCAGCAAUAGAUGAUUGAUUGCUUCCUUCAUUGAGAUACAUUAGUGUUUACUGCAUUAAAGGGAUAGGUCACUCUAUUUUCUUAAGUUGUUAAUAUUUGUCAUGUCCGAGGCAGUUAAGAGUGCAGGAGUGACAGCAUCUACGAUGACCCUUACAUGUCUUUGCCAGAGGCAGCACAGGCUAACGGUUAGCAUUGACCAUUGAGUUUCAAUGUUUCAACGCAAAUGCCCAUGAAAUGAAAGACUUAGCGUAGAUACUGUCACAGUACUGGUCUCUAGACCACUUCUAAGGUAAGAUACACAUUACAAAAUAUAACGGUAAUAUUACGAUCAUACACUGCUCAAAAAAAAUAAAGGGAACACUUAAACAACACAAUGUAACUCCAAGUCAAUCACACUUCUGUGAAAUCAAACUGUCCACUUAGGAAGCAACACUAAUUGACAAUAAAUUUCACAUGCUGUUGUGCAAAUGGAAUAGACAACAGGUGGAAAUUAUAGGCAAUUAGCAAGACACCCCCAAUAAAGGAGGGGUUCUGCAGGUGAUAACCA